CCGUACGAGCGCACCCCUAUCCCUAGUUGCUAGCAGUUCGGGCUGAGAACUCCAGGGAGACUGCCGGUGACAAACCGGAGGAAGGUGGGGAUGACGUCAGGUCAUCAUGGCCCUUACGGCCAGGGCUACACACGUGCUACAAUGAUGCGCACAGAGGGCUGCAAACCCGCGAGGGGGAGCUAAUCUCACAAAACGCAUCGUAGUCCGGAUCGGAGUCUGCAACUCGACUCCGUGAAGUCGGAAUCGCUAGUAAUCGUGAAUCAGAAUGUCACGGUGAAUACGUUCCCGGGCCUUGUACACACCGCCCGUCACACCAUGGGAGUGGAUUGCACCAGAAGUAGUUAGUCUAACCUUCGGGAGGACGAUUACCACGGUGUGGUUCAUGACUGGGGUGAAGUCGUAACAAGGUAGCCGUAGGGGAACCUGCGGCUGGAUCACCUCCUU
rnacentral:rRNA from 1 species